rnacentral:rRNA from 1 species
CAGCCGCCGCGGGAAUACGUAGGGUGCAAGCGUUAAUCGGAAUUACUGGGCGUAAAGCGUGCGCAGGCGGUUAUAUAAGACAGAUGUGAAAUCCCCGGGCUCAACCUGGGAACUGCAUUUGUGACUGUAUAGCUAGAGUACGGCAGAGGGGGAUGGAAUUCCGCGUGUAGCAGUGAAAUGCGUAGAUAUGCGGAGGAACACCGAUGGCGAAGGCAAUCCCCUGGGCCUGUACUGACGCUCAUGCACGAAAGCGUGGGGAGCAAACAGGAUUAGAUACCCCCGUAUCCCUGUCUCUUAUACC